rnacentral:rRNA from 1 species
AGAGUUUGAUCCUGGCUCAGAAUCAACGCUGGCGGCGUGCCUAACACAUGCAAGUCGAGCGAGAAAAGGUAGCAAUACCCGAGUAAAGCGGCGCACGGGUGAGUAACACGUGGAUAACCUGCCUCGAAGUGGGGAAUAACCCCGGGAAACCGGAGCUAAUACCGCAUAAUCUGACAAGAUCUGUGGAUUUUGUCAGCAAAGGAGCAAUUCGCUUUGAGAGGGGUCCGCGGCUGAUUAGCUAGUUGGUGAGGUAAUGGCUCACCAAGGCCACGAUCAGUAGCCGGUCUGAGAGGACGGUCGGCCACACUGGAACUGAGACACGGUCCAGACUCCUACGGGAGGCAGCAGUGGGGAAUUUUUCGCAAUGGGGGCAACCCUGACGAAGCAACGCCGCGUGGGUGAUGAAGUAUUUCGGUACGUAAAACCCUUUCGACGGGGACGAAACCGCAAGGUUGACGGUACCCGUAGAAGAAGCCCCGGCUAACUCCGUGCCAGCAGCCGCGGUAAUACGGGGGGGGCAAGCGUUGUUCGGAAUUACUGGGCGUAAAGGGCGCGUAGGCGGUUCGCUAAGUUGGAUGUGAAAACUCUGGGCUUAACCCAGAGCCUGCAUCCAAAACUGGCAAACUUGAGUACUGGAGGGGAAAGCGGAAUUCCUGGUGUAGCGGUGAAAUGCGUAGAUAUCAGGAGGAACACCGGUGGCGAAGGCGGCUUUCUGGACAGUAACUGACGCUGAGGCGCGAAAGCUAGGGGAGCAAACAGGAUUAGAUACCCUGGUAGUCC